GCUCUGUCUCCGAAAUGUGGUCCCAGGGUCUGUCUCUUCCAUUUCCUCCUCUUCUGAGGCACAAACGGUUUUUGUAAAGUUUCUCUUGACUUUCUUGCCGGCAGCCACAGAAGCCAUGCCAGUGCCUGGUGUGGAGGGCUAGGGUGUGGUUUUGAUCUGUUGGAUGUCUUGGGAGCUCCUGGAUGUUUAAUAUACUUAUGAGCAUUCGCCUAAGAGCUGUAAAGGAGACUCUGCACUAAUGCAGGCUUCCCCUGACCAGUUGUCUGAGGUUGUCCCUAGGUGUUGCUGCCUCUGCUGAGCAAGCAGGAACAGCCCCCCCCCCCAGGGAUCCCCUGGGUGCCUCCAGGUCCCAUGGGAAUCCCAUUUCCACGAGUAAGUGGCCUCUCCAGGGUAGGGCCUUGCCUAGGACCCCAAAACUAUUUACAACUAAUUGCUUGCAAUUGUAUAAGCUUAGCUACAAAACACGACUGGGGCGUUUACCAGGGGAUGUAAGAGUCCAGGGACAGGGCCGUCAAUCGUCAUUUGACCUUUUACCUUGCAGUCUUGGGCCAACUGUCUUCUAUACACAACUCCUCCCACUCACUCCUCCCUCUUUUGUGGUACUGGGGAUUGAACCAGGGCCUUUGUCUUGCUGGGGGGGCGGCGCUUGAAUUUGUGAUCCUCUUGCUUCAGCCUCUCAGUAUUUACAAACUCGUGCCAUCAUGCCCAACAUGGAGGGCGCAGGCUUUGGAUGUGGACCGGAUGGUUCUUUACAAAAUGAAGAAAUCGGUGAAAGCAAUAAACAUCUCUGGGCUGGCGCACGUGGAAAAUGAGGAGCAGUACACCCAGGCCCUGGAGAAGUUUGGUGGCAACUGUGUGUGCAGAGAUGACCCAGAUUUAGGGAGUGCGUUCCUGAAGUUCUCCGUGUUCACCAAGGAGUUGACAGCGCUGUUCAAAAAUCUGGUCAGUGUCGUGUGUGUGUGUGUGUGUGUGUGUGUGUGUGUGUUCACAUGUGUGUGUGCAGUUAGUUAUACCACACAAGACACUUCUGUCACUGCCUUUCUUGGGAGAGAAUAAAUAGUUUGUUUAAUAAACUAGGAAAACAUUUCACAGCUCCCGUGGACCCUAUUUUUUGUAUACAUGGUAUUGAUUUGGAAUAAAGUGGAAAGUUGUAAUCUUUGCUCUAACAGGACU
rnacentral:lncRNA from 1 species